rnacentral:rRNA from 1 species
UACGUAGGGUGCAAGCGUUGUCCGGAAUUAUUGGGCGUAAAGAGCUCGUAGGCGGUUUGUCGCGUCUGCUGUGAAAACGCGAGGCUCAACCUCGCGCCUGCAGUGGGUACGGGCAGACUAGAGUGCGGUAGGGGAGAUUGGAAUUCCUGGUGCAGCGGUGGAAUGCGCAGAUAUCAGGAGGAACACCGAUGGCGAAGGCAGAUCUCUGGGCCGUAACUGACGCUGAGGAGCGAAAGCGUGGGGAGCGAACAGG